AAAAAGCAAAACAAAAAAUGCCCCCAGGCGGGAUUGAACCGCCGGCCUUCUGUUUACGAGACAGACGCUCUGCCACUGAGCUAUACGGGCUGA